UACAGAGGGUGCGAGCGUUAAUCGGAGUUACUGGGCGUAAAGGGCGCGUAGGCGGAGAUAUGAGUGUGAUGUGAAAGCCCUGGGCUUAACCUGGGAAGUGCAUCGCAAACGAUAUUUCUGGAGUACAAGAGAGGGUGGCGGAAUUUCCGGUGUAGCGGUGAAAUGCGUAGAGAUCGGAAGGAACGUCGAUGGCGAAGGCAGCCACCUGGCUUGAUACUGACGCUGAGGCGCGAAAGCGUGGGGAGCGAACAGG
rnacentral:misc_RNA from 1 species